UGGGGAAUCUUGCGCAAUAGGGGAAACCCUGACGCAGCGACGCCGCGUGCGGGAAGAAGGCCUUCGGGUUGUAAACCGCUUUCAGGAGGGACGAAGCUACUCGGGUGAAUAGCCCAGAGGGUGACGGUACCUCCAGAAGAAGCCCCGGCUAACUACGUGCCAGCAGCCGCGGUAAUACGUAGGGGGCAAGCGUUGUCCGGAUUUAUUGGGCGUAAAGAGCGUGUAGGCGGCCAGACAGGUCCGUUGUGAAAACUCGAGGCUCAACCUCGAGACGUCGAUGGAAACCGUCUGGCUAGAGUCCGGAAGAGGAGAGUGGAAUUCCUGGUGUAGCGGUGAAAUGCGCAGAUAUCAGGAAGAACACCUAUGGCGAAGGCAGCUCUCUGGGACGGUACUGACGCUGAGACGCGAAAGCGUGGGGAGCGAACA
rnacentral:rRNA from 1 species